UGCAAGUCGAACGGUGAAGGAGGAGCUUGCUCCUUUGGAUCAGUGGCGAACGGGUGAGUAACACGUGAGUAACCUGCCCCAGACUCUGGGAUAAGCACUGGAAACGGUGUCUAAUACCGGAUACGAGCUUCAGCCGCAUGGCUAGGAGCUGGAAAGAAUUUCGGUCUGGGAUGGACUCGCGGCCUAUCAGCUAGUUGGUGAGGUAAUGGCUCACCAAGGCGACGACGGGUAGCCGGCCUGAGAGGGUGACCGGCCACACUGGGACUGAGACACGGCCCAGACUCCUACGGGAGGCAGCAGUGGGGAAUAUUGCACAAUGGGCGCAAGCCUGAUGCAGCAACGCCGCGUGAGGGACGACGGCCUUCGGGUUGUAAACCUCUUUUAGUAGGGAAGAAGCGAAAGUGACGGUACCUGCAGAAAAAGCACCGGCUAACUACGUGCCAGCAGCCGCGGUAAUACGUAGGGUGCAAGCGUUAUCCGGAAUUAUUGGGCGUAAAGAGCUCGUAGGCGGUUUGUCGCGUCUGCUGUGAAAACUGGAGGCUCAACCUCCAGCCUGCAGUGGGUACGGGCAGACUAGAGUGCGGUAGGGGAGAUUGGAAUUCCUGGUGUAGCGGUGGAAUGCGCAGAUAUCAGGAGGAACACCGAUGGCGAAGGCAGAUCUCUGGGCCGUAACUGACGCUGAGGAGCGAAAGCAUGGGGAGCGAACAGGAUUAGAUACCCUGGUAGUCCAUGCCGUAAACGUUGGGAACUAGAUGUAGGGACCAUUCCACGGUUUCUGUGUCGCAGCUAACGCAUUAAGUUCCCCGCCUGGGGAGUACGGCCGCAAGGCUAAAACUCAAAGGAAUUGACGGGGGCCCGCACAAGCGGCGGAGCAUGCGGAUUAAUUCGAUGCAACGCGAAGAACCUUACCAAGGCUUGACAUAUACCGGAAAAGUUCAGAAAUGUUCUCCCCGCAAGGCCGGUAUACAGGUGGUGCAUGGUUG
rnacentral:rRNA from 1 species